GAUGGUGUAGCUCAGUGGUAGAGCAGUUGGCUGUUAACCAACUGGUCAGUGGUUCAAAUCCAUCCACCAUCG
rnacentral:tRNA from 1 species